UCAAUUGAACCUCCAAACUCACCUCGAAUCACUCAGGAAAUAGACUCCAUUCUGAUGUUUUCUACCGCCAAACAAGGGAGACAAAAGCUGCGGCUCUUAAUUCGCAGGAACAGUGAGCCACAGACGGCUAAUCACGUCCGGAACCAAAGGCACCUGCCCUAUCUGCCUCUACAUUUGAAACCUGGCAACAUGCUGAAGAACCAGCAGUAAAUGUGCUCGGUUGCCCAUUGAGUGCCUCGGACAGUGAAUGAUGACUGAUGUGACUACCAGGAUUUUUCCUCCCUCUCUGUUAUACUCAAAAAGUGCUUGGCUUCUUGUAUUCUGUCUCAGGCAAAAUAUAAUAUUUGUAAAAUAGCAAGCUAUGUAACAAAAAGACAAAUACAGAGUUUUGCAAAGAUGUGUUAAUAA